UUAUGCUCAGUACAGCUUUUUAGUAUAAAGAUUUAAAUAAAAAUUCGAUUAUUUUCAGAAAUUUAAAAUAUACAGCCACAUUAAAUAUGAUAAAAGUUGUAAAUCAAUUCAUUAACUAAAUAUAGUGCCAGCAGUUGCGGUUAGACUAUAAAUGAAAUUAUACAUUUAUUUUCUUAAUUUAAAAAUCUUUUUAUAAUAAAAAAUAUUAAGUGAAAUUUUAUUUUUCAUUUAAAUAAAUAUCCAAUAUAGAAAAAAUUAAAAACUUAAAAUAGGAUUAGAUACCCUAUUAUAUUUUAAUAAUUUUUAGGUAGUAUUACAAUUUUAAGAAAACCUAUGUAGUUUGGCGGCAUUUUAUCAACUUAGAGGAACCUGUCUUUUAAUCGAUACCCCACGAUACUUUUUACUUCUAUUCAUAUCUUAUAUACCUCCAUCUUCAGGGUUAAUAUUUAUAUUCUCCCCAGAAUAAAAAUUUAAUAAGUUAGGUAAAGGUGUAGACUAUAUAGAAGAUAAGAUGGGUUACAAUAAAUUUCUAUUUAAGAAUAGAAAAUCAAAAUUUUUAUUGAAAAAGGAUUUAUAAGUAAAUGAAGAACAAUAUUCUUCCUUGAAAUUGAUAAACAAUGUGCACAUAUCGCCCGUCACCCUUAUCUAAAGGUAAGGUAAGUCGUAACAUAGUUGAUGUUUUGGAAAAAGCAUCAAGA
rnacentral:rRNA from 1 species